UGGGGAAUUUUCCGCAAUGGGCGAAAGCCUGACGGAGCAAGACCGCGUGAGGGAGGAAGGCUCUUGGGUUGUAAACCUCUUUUCUCUGGGAAGAAGAUCUGACGGUACCAGAGGAAUCAGCAUCGGCUAACUCCGUGCCAGCAGCCGCGGUAAUACGGAGGAUGCAAGCGUUAUCCGGAAUUAUUGGGCGUAAAGCGUCCGUAGGUGGCGGUUCAAGUCUGCCGUUAAAACCAGUAGCUUAACUACUGACAGGCGGUGGAAACUGAACAGCUAGAGUGUGGUAGGGGUAGAGGGAAUUCCCAGUGUAGCGGUGAAAUGCGUAGAGAUUGGGAAGAACACCGGUGGCGAAAGCGCUCUGCUGGACCACAACUGACACUCACAGGACGAAAGCUAGGGGAGCGAAAGGGAUUAGAUACCCCUGUAGUCCUAGCCGUAAACGAUGGAUACUAGGUGUUGUGAGUAUCGACCCUCACAGUGCCGGAGCCAACGCGUU
rnacentral:rRNA from 1 species